GAUGGAAGCUUGCUUCUAUCAAUCUUAGUGGCGAACGGGUGAGUAACGCGUAAUCAACCUGCCCUUCAGAGGGGGACAACAGUUGGAAACGACUGCUAAUACCGCAUACGAUCCAAUCUCGGCAUCGAGGAUGGAUGAAAGGUGGCCUCUAUUUAUAAGCUAUCACUGAAGGAGGGGAUUGCGUCUGAUUAGCUAGUUGGAGGGGUAACGGCCCACCAAGGCGAUGAUCAGUAGCUGGUCUGAGAGGAUGACCAGCCACACUGGAACUGAGACACGGUCCAGACUCCUACGGGAGGCAGCAGUGGGGAAUAUUGCACAAUGGGCGCAAGCCUGAUGCAGCCAUGCCGCGUGUGUGAAGAAGGCCUUCGGGUUGUAAAGCACUUUCAGCGGGGAGGAAGGCGGUGAGGUUAAUAACCUCACCGAUUGACGUUACCCGCAGAAGAAGCACCGGCUAACUCCGUGCCAGCAGCCGCGGUAAUACGGAGGGUGCAAGCGUUAAUCGGAAUUACUGGGCGUAAAGCGCACGCAGGCGGUCUGUCAAGUCGGAUGUGAAAUCCCCGGGCUCAACCUGGGAACUGCAUUCGAAACUGGCAGGCUAGAGUCUUGUAGAGGGGGGUAGAAUUCCAGGUGUAGCGGUGAAAUGCGUAGAGAUCUGGAGGAAUACCGGUGGCGAAGGCGGCCCCCUGGACAAAGACUGACG
rnacentral:rRNA from 1 species